CUCUUAUCGAGAGCGGCGGAGGGACUGGCCCGACGAAGCCCGGCAACCUCGUCUGUCUACACAAACAGACGAAGAGGUGCUAAAUCCAGCAGACAUGGCGUGCAGAUGCCGGUCUGGCAGAUAAGAG
rnacentral:ncRNA from 1 species